UUUUCAUAAUUUAUACACCUUGUCACUUUACAUCAUUGGUUAUUUGCUCCUAAGGUUUUCCUCUACCCUAGCAAAGCUAACCACCCGACUCGGUCUCGAGUCAAUCAUCUGCGGAAUACCGCAUACAUCCAGGCUCGAGGUAAUGGACGUCUCACAUACACCUCAGCCCCAAAUCCACUCGACAGGAAUACUCAAUCUAUAGCUCAUAAUGCUUAAUAUACAUCCACUUGGCUUUUACCCAAUUGCACUGAGGUUCACCUAGUUCCCCUCGAACUCACAAUCCAAAAUCCCGUCAUAGCAGGGGGCCUCGAACCACCCCUAGGGACCGUCUUUAGGGACCUCGCUCCCGUGGUGACAAUUCCGGAAUGCACCGCUUGAGGGGGAGCUACCGCCCUCAAGCCAAGACU
rnacentral:lncRNA from 1 species